rnacentral:lncRNA from 1 species
GAGAGAGGAAAGGUCUGAUGGAAGUCAGAACAGAGAAGGGCAAGGAAUGGUAGAAACAGAGUCAGAAGUGGGCAGAGAGCAAGCAGAAGGAUAAAGACAGGAUAAAGUAAGAAAGAAGCUAGUCCAAGGGGCACAGGGAGGAAACGGCCAAGCAGGACCAGGACCGAAAGUCGAGGAGAGCCCGAGAGCGUCAGCGUGUGGAGAAGGAGCUGGAGAGGGAGCGCCCCAUCUCGGCUCCCGGCGCGGAGCUGAAGCCCGGGCGGCAGGAGCCGGGGAAGGGCGCCCGAGGCAGCGCCCGGCGAGCGGAGAUGGAGCGGGUGGGCUGAGGUACCCGGAGCAACUCCGUCUCGGCCAAGCGCACGUCUGGCGACCGUGGCAGAACAGGCCAGAGUGCCCGGAUGGUGGGAGAGAUCAGUGUGUCUCCACGUUCCCCACACACAGAGCUCUGAGAACUGCAGCUGCAACCAAAGAGAAGUCCUUUAAAGAGCCCCUGGUCCCUGAGGCUCCAAAGCUCCCACUGCGCUGGGUAAGGAUGAGGUGAGACAGCUGGGAAGUGGGAGGACGUGUUCAUUCCACUGAGAGGGAGUCCGAUGGUCCUCAUGGGCAUUAGAAGACAUAAGGCAGAUAGAAGAUAAGAAAGGACCUGAUCAAGUUAAAAAUGGAUCCAUAUAAUUAAAGUGAUGGUGCAUGUGUGUGAUUUUAAAAGUGUUCCAAGGCUUUUUUUCCCCUAAAAUUAUAAAAGUGUCAUUAGCUAAUUGUCAUGAAUAGCAGCUAUGACUUCUUUUUUCAUGGCCCUAUCUUAUGACUGUGUGACCAGGGUCAAAACAGGUAACCUCUCUGUGCCUCUCUUUCUCCAUCCAGCUUCCUGUCCUUUAUUUAUUUAUUUAUAUUGAGAGAGAGCAAGCUGAGGAGGGGCGGAGAGAGAGAAUCUUAAGCAGGCUCCGCACUGAGUGUGAAGCCUGAUGUGGGGCUCGAUCUCACAACCCUGAGAUGGUGACUGGAGCCAAAAUCAAGAGACAGAUGCUUAACCAACUGAGCCACACAGGCGCCCCUCCUGUCUUACUUUUCUCAGUCAACGUGUGCAAUAAUACUUUGGAUCUCCAUCAGCGGUGUUACCGAUAUUGUUAAUAAGAUUCAAGAACAAAUAUGUUUUUCCACUCCUAGGUGGAAAGAGAGUUGAAAACAUUCAUCCAUACAAAGUAGUAGUAUUGUUCAAGAUAACGAAAAGGGGGGCGCCUGGGUGGCACAGCAGUUAAGCGUCUGCCUUCAGCUCAGGGCGUGAUCCUGGCGUUCUGGGAUCGAGCCCCACAUCAGGCUCCUCCGCUAUGAGCCUGCUUCUUCCUCUCCCACUCCCCCCGCUUGUGUUCCCUCUCUCGCUGGCUGUCUCUCUCUCUGUCGAAUAAAUAAAUAAAAUUUUUUUUAAAAUAAUGAAAA